AUGGAGUGCUGUCCUUGGAGGGGGUCAGCCAUUUCUAUCUUAUUCAGAGGGACUGUGACUGCCUUCAAGAGACAGGCGACAGGAUCCUACAGGUGACAUUCUCUGUCAGAUGCUCUGUUGCCUCCCUCCCUCCCUCUGCUCCCGGGACGCUCAGUUUUCCCACUUCACGGGCUCCUUUCCAGUUUCCCGGCCUCCCUCCACACUUAUCUGCACCUAAACACACACACACACUUAACAGUUAGAAGCUAGCAUCCGCACAGGAGAGAGAGCAUGAGGUUAACACCUAGAAGAAUUUCAAAUUUUAAACAGCAGUAUUGCCAGUCAAUAAACAGGCCGAUGAAAACUGGCAUGCAGUUUUCAAUAAAAUAAGAAACAGCCAAUAACUGCUUUUAAAAAGGGUUCAACAUUCUUAGCCACCAGAGAAAUGCAAACGAAAGCUGCUAGCCUUCUCUUUCUUCUAACUCCCUCCCGUGGGGAUGUAUUCAUUCUUAAACCCCUCAGCUUGCUUGCUGCUUAUCCCUGUGCUUCUGUCUAAUUCCUUGGUCUAGGACUCAGAGACCUAUGACCCCUCCAGAGGUGCAUGCUGGACACCUAUAAUUGUGGGCGUUAAAGUGUGUAAGCCAGCGCUGUAAACGCAGUAGUAAUCCCUGAACGGCCAGAUUCCCACUCUUACAAUUAUUCUGUUGUUUUUAAACAUAUAGUUAAACAUUUCUACACUAUGUGUCUAUUAGUGCGUGGGGAAUGAAUUUCUAAUCCUAACCAUUGAAUGUAUUCACUUACUGGGCACAUUUCCCAACAAGCUUCUUGCCAUCUGAGGCGAAGUGCUUUCUUUCCCUGUGUCUGUGAGAUGGGUAGAGGUAGGAGAGGGUGGGCAGUAAUAUUCCAUAGACAUAAAACACUUCAGGUGUUGGGACUGGAGAAAUGGCUCAAUAGUUAAGAGCCCUGUGGUACCUUCAGAGGAUCCAUGCUUGCCUUCACCCGUGUCGGGUGGCUCUCAACUCCCUGGGGAUCCAACACCCUCUUCAGACCUGCUCGGCUACUCACUCAUUCGCAUGCACAUAUGUAUGGAGACACACAUGCACACAAACAUACACACAAACACUCAGAUAAAUCCUCAGAAAAUCUCAGGCAGACUAGCUCAGUGGUUGAGGGUUUGUUUAACAUGUGGGCAGUCCAGGGUUCCAUUCUCAGCAACACACACACACACACACACACACACACACACACACACAGAGUCAUGUAGAUCUGUGGUAUCAGACUGGUCCAAUAAAGGGCAUUUUUUCUUUGCAUCCAGUCUCCUGUGGAAUCCCAGUGUCUGCAGGUUCCUAUUCUCAGAUUUAACCAACUGUAGAUUUAAAACCCGUGGAAGGGGGCGUGGGAUUGCAUUUAUACUGAAUAGAUAUUUGGUUGUUUUUGUUGUUGUUGUUCUUUUUUUUUUUUUUUUGCUUUGCUUUGCCACCAGGCUCUACAAAACCCAACAUUAACAACUAUUGAUGUUAUUCUACGCACUCUAAGGUCACCUGUGGGUGACUGAAAGCAUAUGGCUGGACAGAAGAGAUGGCUUAACAGUUAAGAGCACGUGCUGCUCUUCUAGAGGAUGGCGUUCAGUUCCCAGCGCCCACAUCAGAUUGCUCACAAUGGCUUCUAACUCCAAUUCCGGGGGACCUCCUGGCCUCUGUAGGCAUCCACACCUGUCAGGCUGUGGACUGUGUCUGCCUCAACACUGGGGUGCCUGAGCACCUCCGGCAAACCACUCAGGGGAGGCAGAACACAGUCCAUGAUGAGGUCCCAGACCAAGUUUUCCCAGGUCGCCACUGCCUUGGCACUGCAGAUGCAUCCUUGAGAACUUCGCUUGCUAACUUUCUCAUCACAAGGGACAGAACACCUUCCACUGUCAGAAUAAAAGAAUGCUCAUUGUG